AAAGCUCAGAUGUUUCUAAUCUUUGACAUGGGGAGAUGAGAUAGGAAGCACAUCAAUGAACUCUUUGGAUAAUCCUCAAACUCUUUGGAGCCGGUGGGUGCCAAUUCCCUCACCCACCCGCCUUCCCCGAUUUAUUUUCUUGUAAAGGCAAAGUCAUGAAUUGACAUUUGUCUUUACUGAGCUGUGCUAUAGAUCAACUGAGUAAUACAAAGAAAAGGAGAGAACAGAGCACCUGCCUGGCAGUUGACUUUAAAGGGAAGGCAAGGCAGGAUGUUUUCAUUUUUCUCUCAGAAUAAGUAGCAAGUAGUAAUGUUCAUGUGACUUUCUUAUUGACUUGCACUUUUUUUCUGCUCUCAGCGCCUUAGGAAGAAGAUCGUUUUAUUGAUUUUAUUCCAGACCAGAUUGGGCCUCAGUUGUCAGAGGUGGUACUGGUGGUGUGCCCAACACAGGAGCAACUGUUCUGGAGAGAAUGAUGAUGGUAGAUCUGAAGGUGGCUGAGUAUUUGAACCCUCAAAUCAGGGCUCUGUGGGAAACCAAGGAACCUGUGACAGAGAGCUCCACUCAGAGUAAGAUAUGUGCUGCACAAAUGGACAAUCUCAGUCCUGAGACCUCUCGCCAACACUUCCGGAGCUUCCACUAUCAUGAAGCAGCUGGACCCCGUGUGGUUGUUGGCCAACUUCAGGAAUUAUGCCGUCAAUGGCUGAGACCAGACAUACAUUCAAAAGAACAGAUCUUGGAUCUGCUGGUGCUAGAGCAGUUUCUGACCAUUCUGCCCAGGGACACCCAAACCCAGAUAAAGAAGCACCACCUACAGAGCACUGAAGAGGCUGUGGCCUUGGUAGACCACUUGCAGAGUGAAUCUGAUCAAAUGAAGAAUGGGGUUGCAGUCCAUGUGCUGGGAAAGGAGGCAGUGCCCUUGGGAGAAACAGCAGAGACCCCAGGCUUCAAACUGAAGUCAGCAGAAUCCCAGCCAGUGGGCAGGUCCCAGGAUGAAGAAUUUUGGAAUGAAUAUCAGGAUCUACAACAACAGCUGAGCAGGAAUACUCAUAAAGAAACUGAGCCUGUGUGUGAGAGGGCUGUGCCUGCUCACCAGAUAAUAGACUUUCCUGAGCAGACAAACACCAAAGACUGGACAGUGACACCUGAGCUCAUCUUGCCUGAGUCCCAGAGCUUGUUGACAUUUGAAGAAGUGGCUGUGUAUUUUUCCCAGGAAGAAUGGGAGUUACUGGAUGUCAGUCAGAAGGCCCUCUACAAUGAUGUAAUGCAGGAAAACUAUGAGACUGCCAUCUCUCUAGCCAUAUUUGUGCUCCCCAAACCUAAAGUGAUCUCCUGUCUAGAACAAGGGAAAGAGCCAUGGGUUCAAGGAUCCACAGAGGUCACAGACAGUCCUGGAGAGCUGCCUAUAGGAUUAAAGCUCAAAAAUGACGCUGAAAAUCAUCAGCCUUUAUGUCUUUCUGACUUAGAAGUACAAGCAGCUGGAGAUGUAAUAUCAAAAAAGGCCAGAGUGAAAGUUCCCCAGAAACCAACAGUCAAAGAAAAUCAUGGUGAUAUGCACAGGGUGGGGAAAUGGCAUCAAGAUUUUCCAGUGAAGAAAAGAAAGAAACUUUCAACCUGGAAACAAGAGCUACUUAAACUUAUGGAUCGCCACAAGAAAGAACGUGUAGGAGAGAAACCUUUUAAAUGCCAGCAGUGUGGGAAAAGCUUCAGAGUUAGCUCUGACCUUAUUAAGCACCAAAGAAUUCACACUGAAGAGAAACCAUAUAAAUGCCCACAGUGUGAUAAGAGGUUUAGAUGGAGUUCAGACCUUAAUAAGCACUUAACAACACACCAAGGUAUAAAACCAUAUAAAUGCUCAUGGUGUGGGAAAAGCUUCAGUCAAAAUACAAAUCUCCACACACACCAAAGAACUCACACUGGAGAGAAGCCCUUUACUUGUCAUGAAUGUGGGAAAAAGUUCAGUCAGAACUCCCACCUUAUUAAACAUCGGAGAACCCACACAGGUGAGCAGCCUUAUUCCUGUAACAUAUGCAGAAGAAACUUUAGCCGGCGGUCCAGCCUCCUUAGGCACCAGAAACUCCACCAGUGAAGGGAAGCUUGUCCAGUGUCUUCAGUCUGAACAAAUUCAUCAAGCAGAGCUUGAUGCUAAAGUUUAUGAAAAAAUACAAAAUUAUGAAACAUGAGGUUUUCAUCAGUGUAAUAUUGCAUAGAAAGAAAUCAGGUUUGACUCUGCACGGAAUGCAUUAAAGUUGUACUACUUACUGUUUUUACUUAUAACCUAUAGGGAAUUCCAUAGCAAGAUUAGUGUUCUAGGAACAUUCUAAAAAUGGAAAAAGUUGUUUUGGGAUUGUAUCUGCAGAAAUAUCAAAUUCAGCUUCAAAUAGCAGAUGAAGCCAUAAAUCCAAUCAGUCUUUUGAGGUCACAGAGGUAAAUAGUGUUGGUUUUUCAUUGAUCUCCCCAGCCACUCUUAAACACAUGAGAGAAAUUAUGAAAAAUAUUUGUAGCAUGGUCUUCCAAAGCAAAAAGCACUAAUAUGCUUGUUUAAUUGCAUACCAUUGUCUUCAAGGUAGCAGGCUUAAUAAUUUCAGUAGUCUCAUGGGGAAGAAAUGAAUUCUAAUGUAAAGUUUUCUAAGAACCUAAUUGUAUUUUCUUCCUCUCAUCAUUGGACAUUGUGAGUUUUUUCUUGAACUUUUUAGCAACCUUAGCUCUUAUAUUAGCACCAAUUUUACUUUGAUGAAAUCAUAUUUACCUCACCACUAGGGAAUCUGCCAGAUAACUAAUAAUGCACUAUCUUAUGCCUCUCAUUGGUUGUGUUUGAAAAAAGGAAAACAUUUCUAAUGAGAUUAUAUGUAAACGGGUUGGAAUUUUUAGCCAUGGAAUAAUAUAUUAGAUGUAAAGAAGGAUUUUCUGCAAUAAAAGAAACUAGACUGUUUCCUUUCCUCACAGUGUCGAUAGGAUAAAAUAGCCAUAAAAAUUAGUACUUUCUUGAGGCGUAAAAGAAACUUAAUAGGAGUCCAGGGGAAAUUUCUCAGGAUUUUGUUUGUUUUCUUUUUCAUUUGGCUUUUGCUACUGAGAAUCAGAAGAGAUUUAUGUGUCUGGGAACUGGAGCAAGUACUGCAGGCAGGAUCCUGUGGUUUACUGUGUAUGGUGACCAGGAAAUCCAUUACGCGGGAGACCAGGUUUCUAAAAGGACAGUUUUGGGAACUGAUUUGGAGUAGUUCGCAAAGAUUCUCAGAAACUGAAAGAAUAAAAUUACACUGGACACUGGAGAAGGAAAACAAUGGAAUGAGGAAAGAGUUACAAUUAAACUACCUUUAGAAGAAAUACCUAAUUGGAAUUCUUCAUGUGACUCAGUCUUCUGCUAAUGAAAAGCCUAAAUUUUAUUUUCCAAUUCUAAUACUUUUUAGUUCCAAAUUUGUGGUCAUUGGUAAAUAUACUGUACACCUCCCUACUUUUAUUCUAUUCUGUAUCUUUUUGGAUGUUCUGACAUGAUGACAAAACUGAAGCAAAGAGUUAAGCCCUGUGGUAGCUGUC